rnacentral:lncRNA from 1 species
UCAAACACUAUAGAGCAGAGAAUAUAUCUGGAUCUUGCACUAGUGUUCAGAUGCUCACACACUGUACAGUUCCUUUUCCAGGACUGGCCAAUAUCUCAGCUGACUACAACUGAAGGGCAGAGGGACUAUCCUGCCAAAUGUUCCAAAGGCAGCUAUAUAGAGCUACUUUCCAGAUAGUGGGACUGGACCCCACAGUGGUGAGUACGUUUCUUGGGAAGCAUAAUAGUUGACAGUGAUUUCAAAUGUGUAUCUUCCUAUCACAAGGGACUGGCUUCAAUCGCCAUUCUUUCCCUUUGUAUUUAGAAUCAUCCAAGAAUUUCUACUCCCUCUGUGAAUCACAGACUGACUUCUCAGAGUUAUAGCUUGUUUAUAGGGGAGAGAACUUUACUUUCCAGCUAAUCCAUCAAACAGUGACCUUGAGAGUAUCUCUGGAGAGAGUCUGCUAUGGCUGGCAUGUGCUUUUGUGCUUUGGGUAUUCCAGGGGUCCAUUGUGAUUGUAAGCCUGGUUUCAAGUGUGGUGUUUUUGGGAUAUGGUGGAAAGUUUGUAAAGCGAGGCCUUCUGGGAAAACAUUGUGUCACUGUGUGUGUGUCCUCAGAAGGACUUGUAGAAAUUCAGUUUUCCCUACUGAUUUGCUGCUGGGCACUAAGCUCUCUCUCACACAUGCUCCUUUGCCAUGAUGUGGCUAUAGCUUGAAGGAUUUCAACUGAACUAAAUUGAUAAAGACAUUGUGCAUUUGAGUUCCCCAAAUCAAGAGCUAAAUAACCCCCUCUACAUAAAGUUAACUACCUUAGCAUGUUAAUUAUAGUAAUAGGAAGUUGACUCAUACAGGUU